rnacentral:rRNA from 1 species
UCGUGUCGUGAGAUGUUGGUUAAGUCCGUAACGAGCGCACCCUUGUCCUUAGUUACCAGCACGUAUGGUGGGCACUCUAAGGAGACUGCCGGUGACAAACCGGAGGAAGGUGGGGAUGACGUCAAGUCAUCAUGGCCCUUACGGCCUGGGCUACACACGUGCUACAAUGGUCGGUACAAAGGGUUGCCAAGCCGCGAGGUGGAGCUAAUCCCAUAAAACCGAUCGUAGUCCGGAUCGCAGUCUGCAACUCGACUGCGUGAAGUCGGAAUCGCUAGUAAUCGUGAAUCAGAAUGUCACGGUGAAUACGUUCCCGGGCCUU